GGUUCUGCAAAGAUGUACAGACUAAUACUCGUGUCAGUUUUGUUCUCUGCCUGCUUGGCUGGCCCCAAAUAUAAACGAACACCAUCGAAUCUCAACCUUACGCGGCGUUUCGCCAAGUCGUUCAACACCUAUGAUCCUUGCUCCGAGUACGAAAACUCCAGUCCGGGUGUCAUCAGGGCGGACACAGAGACCAAAUGCAUUCGCGCAUUCGAGCUCCUGGGCAGUCUUCCGCCGGGCGAUCUCCCUCUCCAUUGCCUGCCGUCCCAGAGGACCCAAAGUCCCUCUUGCCGUGACUUUCGAGGUCAAAAGAGAUGUAUGAUCACAGCCAAACACACGAUCGUCGCUAGACAGGUGGGACCACAACUUAUUCAGACCCAAGAACUGGUGAAGCCAGUGCUGCUGAGUGCCUGCGCUGAAACGGUCGGAGUUGAUAUUCCAGCCUCUGCAGACAUACACGCCAUGGAAGACCUUUUCAAGAAUCGGCCUCAUCCGGGGGAUGUGUGGACGACUUCAGAAUUUACGCGCACAGUGACGAUGACGAAAGUAGAUCCUGACGCUUCUGGAGAGAACCCCUUUCUCCCAGGCUCCGAUACGAACGAUCCCCCAACACCGAAAUCGCCAAAAAGAUCUUCAUCCAGAUCACCAAGAUCGUCGCCGGUAUCGUCACCGAGAUCAUUCAGACGAAAUUAAGGAACAGAAAAGGCUUUCAGGACCACAUCACCAAGGGCAAUGGAGACUCUGGAUCAUCGAACUUUUUCCUCUCUGUUUCUACGAUUGAUUUGGCACGCGAUUAAAAUGCUCAUUGCGUAUCAAUCAUCAUACGCGACACCGAGUAAAAAGAAUAAAUGAUAUAUAUUUGAUUGACGCAGUAAAACGCAUUGGGACUCAUUUAU
rnacentral:lncRNA from 1 species